rnacentral:rRNA from 1 species
AGAGUUUGAUCCUGGCUCAGAUUGAACGCUGGCGGCAUGCCUAACACAUGCAAGUCGAACGGUAACGAUGGGAGCUUGCUCCCAGGCGACGAGUGGCGGACGGGUGAGUAAUGCUUGGGAAUUUGCCUAGUAGUGGGGGACAACACGGGGAAACUCGUGCUAAUACCGCAUACGCCCUACGGGGGAAAGCGGGGGAUCUUCGGACCUCGCGCUAUUAGAUGAGCCCAAGUCGGAUUAGCUUGUUGGUGAGGUAAAGGCUCACCAAGGCCGCGAUCCGUAGCUGGUCUGAGAGGACGAUCAGCCACACUGGGACUGAGACACGGCCCAGACUCCUACGGGAGGCAGCAGUGGGGAAUAUUGCACAAUGGGUGCAAGCCUGAUGCAGCAAUGCCGCGUGUGUGAAGAAGGCCUGCGGGUUGUAAAGCACUUUCAGUAGUGAAGAAAAGUUCAAGGUUAAUACCCUUGGACCGUGACAUUACCUACAGAAGAAGCACCGGCUAACUCCGUGCCAGCAGCCGCGGUAAUACGGAGGGUGCGAGCGUUAAUCGGAAUUACUGGGCGUAAAGCGCGCGUAGGCGGCUAUGUCAGUCGGAUGUGAAAGCCCCGGGCUUAACCUGGGAACUGCAUUCGAUACUGCAUGGCUAGAGUAUGGUAGAGGGAAGCGGAAUUCCGGGUGUAGCGGUGAAAUGCGUAGAUAUCCGGAGGACACCAGUGGCGAAGCGCUCCUGGACAAUACUGACGCUGAGGUGCGAAGCGUGGGGAGCAACGAAUAGAUACCUGGUAGUCCACGCCUAAACGAUGUCAACUAGCCGUUGGUUCACUCCAGGCUUAUGGGCGACCUACGCGAUAAGUUGACGCCUGGGGAGAUGUCGCAGAUUAAACUCAACGAUUGACCGGCGCCCGCACAAGCGGUGGAGCAUGUGGUUUAAUUCGAUGCAACGCGAAGACCUUACCAGGCCUUGACAUCUUCGGAACUUUCUAGAGAUAGAUUGUUGCCU